GACGAACGCUGGCGGCGUGCCUAAUACAUGCAAGUUGAGCGAUGAAGCUUGGUGCUUGCACCAAUUUGAAGAGCAGCGAACGGGUGAGUAACGCGUGGGGAAUCUGCCUUUGAGCGGGGGACAACAUUUGGAAACGAAUGCUAAUACCGCAUAAUAACUUUAAACAUAAGUUUUAAGUUUGAAAGAUGCAAUUGCAUCACUCAAAGAUGAUCCCGCGUUGUAUUAGCUAGUUGGUGAGGUAAAGGCUCACCAAGGCGAUGAUACAUAGCCGACCUGAGAGGGUGAUCGGCCACAUUGGGACUGAGACACGGCCCAAACUCCUACGGGAGGCAGCAGUAGGGAAUCUUCGGCAAUGGACGAAAGUCUGACCGAGCAACGCCGCGUGAGUGAAGAAGGGUUUCGGAUCGUAAAACUCUGUUGGUAGAGAAGAACGUUGGUGAGAGUGGAAAGCUCAUCAAGUGACGGUAACUACCCAGAAAGGGACGGCUAACUACGUG
rnacentral:rRNA from 1 species